AGGGUUUGAUUCUGGCUCAGAUUGAACGCUGGCGGCAGGCCUAACACAUGCAAGUCGAGCGGUAGAGAGGUGCUUGCACCUCUUGAGAGCGGCGGACGGGUGAGUAAUGCCUAGGAAUCUGCCUGGUAGUGGGGGAUAACGCUCGGAAACGGACGCUAAUACCGCAUACGUCCUACGGGAGAAAGCAGGGGACCUUCGGGCCUUGCGCUAUCAGAUGAGCCUAGGUCGGAUUAGCUAGUUGGUGGGGUAAUGGCUCACCAAGGCGACGAUCCGUAACUGGUCUGAGAGGAUGAUCAGUCACACUGGAACUGAGACACGGCCCAGACUCCUACGGGAGGCAGCAGUGGGGAAUAUUGGACAAUGGGCGAAAGCCUGAUCCAGCCAUGCCGCGUGUGUGAAGAAGGUCUUCGGAUUGUAAAGCACUUUAAGUUGGGAGGAAGGGCAUUAACCUAAUACGUUAGUGUUUUGACGUUACCGACAGAAUAAGCACCGGCUAACUCUGUGCCAGCAGCCGCGGUAAUACAGAGGGUGCAAGCGUUAAUCGGAAUUACUGGGCGUAAAGCGCGCGUAGGUGGUUCGUUAAGUUGGAUGUGAAAUCCCCGGGCUCAACCUGGGAACUGCAUUCAAAACUGUCGAGCUAGAGUAUGGUAGAGGGUGGUGGAAUUUCCUGUGUAGCGGUGAAAUGCGUAGAUAUAGGAAGGAACACCAGUGGCGAAGGCGACCACCUGGACUGAUACUGACACUGAGGUGCGAAAGCGUGGGGAGCAAACAGGAUUAGAUACCCUGGUAGUCCACGCCGUAAACGAUGUCAACUAGCCGUUGGGAGCCUUGAGCUCUUAGUGGCGCAGCUAACGCAUUAAGUUGACCGCCUGGGGAGUACGGCCGCAAGGUUAAACUCAAAUGAAUUGACGGGGGCCCGCACAGCGGUGGAGCAUGUGGUUUAAUUCG
rnacentral:rRNA from 1 species